UACGUAGGGCGCAAGCGUUGUCCGGAAUUAUUGGGCGUAAAGAGCUCGUAGGCGGUCGUGUCGCGUCGGAUGUGAAAGCCCGGGGCUUAACCCCGGGUCUGCAUUCGAUACGGGCAGACUAGAGUGUGGUAGGGGAGAUCGGAAUUCCUGGUGUAGCGGUGAAAUGCGCAGAUAUCAGGAGGAACACCGGUGGCGAAGGCGGAUCUCUGGGCCAUUACUGACGCUGAGGAGCGAAAGCGUGGGGAGCGAACAGG
rnacentral:rRNA from 1 species